rnacentral:misc_RNA from 1 species
UUCGGGCGGGAUUCCACUUCCGCCGGAAACCGAUAUUUUUGCAAAAAAUGUGGCUCUGGUUCCAAUCAGAUGUAGUGAGCUAUCUAUGAAGGCGAUUGUCAAUGUCAAGGUUGACGUCCUAGUUUUGCUCAGCAAAUGAUGCAUCAACUGUUGACAUAUUGAAACAACAUUCUAAUUUUAACCAAAUAUCUGGCUUAAAUCAAGGCACUUAUAUGAAGAUUACUUUACUUGGUGCAUGGGGAGCUGUUAAAGCUACAGUACAUGCAGUGACUGUUGGAUAUUGCAAAGACUUACUCGUCUAAAGUUCAUAUAUACUGACCAUCUAGCCCAAAUGGUUUCGGGUUGACACAAUUUGACAUUGCAUGGAUUAAAAGUGAUGAGCUACAUUGCACAAAUCCUGAUUUCAUAAUCGCUGACAUGAAUAGAAUCACACAAAAAGUAAUUAAUUCAAACUUACGAUUGUUACAUAUAAUAACAAAUCUUCCAGUAUGCACAAGUUGUGGAUCACAAAAGCAUCAUAGAUAUUUUCACUCAAUGAAUGUAAAAUCUGGAACAAAAGGAAACUUUAGGAUUCAUGACACUUUGCUCCAUUUAACAACUCCAAAGCGAGGUAUACUUGGUGGUUCCUUAAGUAGCUCAAAUGUUGGCUGCCUGGUGGACAGAUGGACUAAUGUUUUCAAAAAUAGGAAAAUAUCAGAACCAAAAGAAUCUGCUGAAUACAUUAUUGCUCAUGUCCAAGGAAGCAAAAUGUUCCAUGAAAUAGACAAAUCCAGUUUUCUGACUGCUGCACAACAUAAGAAGAUGGAGGAAUUGUGUUUAAGGAGAUUAGACAAGGAGCCUAUACAAUAUCUGCUUGGAGAAUGGGACUUUUGUGAUAUGACCCUUGAUGUCAGGCAACCAGUUUUCAUACCAAGGCCAGAAACUGAGGAGCUGGUCGAGUUGAUACAGCAAUAUUUAAAGACAAGAGGUCUGGAAAAUUCUGCACUAACUAUUUUGGAGGUUGGUUGUGGCAGUGGGGCUAUAGCAAUAGCACUUUUGAAACGGUUCCAAAAGGCUACCUGUACAUCAAUAGACAGAAGUAUUGAUGCCUGUGAGUUGACUACCCACAAUGCAGUUAAACAGAAAGUAAAAGACAGGCUUAAUGUUGUUCACCUAGAAUUAAACAAAGAUACUGUUGAAGUACAUCCUGAGUUCACAUGUACUGAAAGAUAUCAACUGCUGGUUAGUAACCCUCCUUACAUCCCAACCAAGGACAUGACAAAACUCCAGCCUGAAAUUGACCUAUUUGAGGAUCCAUGUGCCCUGCAUGGAGGCUUGGAUGGAUUGGAUACUAUUAUUAGAACCCUGCAUAUAGCUUCAAAAGUUCUACAAGACAAAGGUUUCUUGUGGUUAGAGGUAGACUCGACACAUCCUGCCAAAGUGCAGCGCCUCCUACAGGACAACAAGGAACUGAACCUACACUACGUCCAAACAUAUCAGGAUUUUAACAAAUUGGAAAGGUUUUGUCAAAUCCAGAAACAUCUUCCCGUAUGAAUUGCUGAACAAAAUGAAAACAUGUGCCAUGAUAAUAUUAUUAGAUGAUGGAAAUCAAGGAACUAGGAUCAGAGUGUUAUUAAAUUGUACACUCUAGGAUAACACUGUCACUAAAAUACUACAAAAUACUACAAAGGUGAUAUUUUUGUUAUACCAAAGUAAUAUAUAUUUAGCAUAAUAUGGAUGGAUCAGGCUUGAAACAUGAUUUGAAUGCAAAUACUAAGUAUGACAUAGGAUAUUUAUUGAAUAUCGGUCUGCACGAUCAACAGUAAUGAGAGACAAGUUUUAACACAUAUCCUAUUAUUCCUGACUAAAUGAAAUAAAUUAAUUAUAAAAAUUAAUAAGUAAAGUAUUAUAUUCUUUGUAUAUGUUUUUUCAAACAGUCAUUUUUAGCUCACGUUGUCCGUCUGUCUGUCUGUCCGU